rnacentral:tRNA from 1 species
GGGGAGAUACCAAAGUGGCCAACCGGGGCAGACUGUAAAUCUGCUGGCAUAUGCCUUCGUAGGUUCGAAUCCUGCUCUCCCCA